rfam:Paenibacillus alvei DSM 29 PAV_6c, whole genome shotgun sequence.
GGACAGGACUCUGGAGAGACUCCAUCAUUGGGGCACCGAAGGGGCAAGACGAAUCGCAUUGAUCGAAUCGUUAAAACUCUCAGGUAAAAGGACAGGGAUGCAGAU